rnacentral:rRNA from 1 species
UAGGGGAUUUUGCACAAUGGGCGCAAGCCUGAUGCAGCAACGCCGCGUGAGUGAAGAAGGCUCUUGGGUUGUAAAGCUCUUUCGGCCAAGAAGAAGGGAUGCCCCGCGAACAGCAUGGCAUUCUGACGGUACUGGAAGAAGAAGCACCUGCUAACUACGUGCCAGCAGCAGCGGUAAUACGUAGGGUGCAAGCGUUGUUCGGAAUUACUGGGCGUAAAGGGCGCGUAGGCGGGCCCGUAUGUCGAUUGUGAAAGCCCAGGGCUCAACCUUGGAAUUGCAGUCGAAACUGCGGGUCUUGAAUGCUUGAGGGGAUGGCGGAAUUCCCGGUGUAGAAGUGAAAUUCGUAGAUAUCGGGAAGAACACCUGAGGCGAAGGCGGCUAUCUGGCGAUGCAUUGACGCUGAGGCGCGAAAGCGUGGGGAGCAAACAG